UACGUAGGGUGCGAGCGUUGUCCGGAUUUAUUGGGCGUAAAGGGCUCGUAGGCGGCGUGUCGCGUCUGCUGUGAAAACCCGAGGCUCAACCUCGGGCCUGCAGUGGGUACGGGCAGACUAGAGUGCGGUAGGGGAGAUUGGAAUUCCUGGUGUAGCGGUGAAAUGCGCAGAUAUCAGGAGGAACACCGGUGGCGAAGGCGGGACUCUGGGCCGAUACUGACGCUGAGGAGCGAAAGCGUGGGGAGCGAACAGG
rnacentral:rRNA from 1 species